rnacentral:rRNA from 1 species
UAGUGGCGAACGGGUGAGUAACACGUGGGCAAUCUGCCCUGCACUCUGGGACAAGCCCUGGAAACGGGGUCUAAUACCGGAUACUGACCUUCACGGGCAUCUGUGAAGGUCGAAAGCUCCGGCGGUGCAGGAUGAGCCCGCGGCCUAUCAGCUUGUUGGUGAGGUAAUGGCUCACCAAGGCGACGACGGGUAGCCGGCCUGAGAGGGCGACCGGCCACACUGGGACUGAGACACGGCCCAGACUCCUACGGGAGGCAGCAGUGGGGAAUAUUGCACAAUGGGCGAAAGCCUGAUGCAGCGACGCCGCGUGAGGGAUGACGGCCUUCGGGUUGUAAACCUCUUUCAGCAGGGAAGAAGCGAAAGUGACGGUACCUGCAGAAGAAGCGCCGGCUAACUACGUGCCAGCAGCCGCGGUAAUACGUAGGGCGCAAGCGUUGUCCGGAAUUAUUGGGCGUAAAGAGCUCGUAGGCGGCUUGUCACGUCGGUUGUGAAAGCCCGGGGCUUAACCCCGGGUCUGCAGUCGAUACGGGCAGGCUAGAGUUCGGUAGGGGAGAUCGGAAUUCCU